GGUUCAUGACUGGGGUGAAGUCGUAACAAGGUAGCCGUAGGGGAACCUGCGGCUGGAUCACCUCCUUACAUAGAAAGGCACAGAAGGAACUAGAGUGCCCACACAGUUUGUUUUCAAGAAUCGGAACGCGGUCCAAGAUUGGGGUCGUAGCUCAGCUGGGAGAGCACCUGCCUUGCACGCAGGGGGUCAGGAGUUCGAUCCUCCUCGGCUCCACCAAUAGAUUGAGGGGAUUGACCAGAACAAAGUGUUUUUGCGAGAGAGCAUUUUAUUCUGGUAUAGCCGGAGUUCAUUAACAAGAUGGUAAAGAAGAAGAGGUAACACAAGCGAUUGGUAUUUGCAUCAUGUGAUUUUGAGGUGAUUGAGGUUAUAUGGUCAAGAAGAG
rnacentral:misc_RNA from 1 species